CAAGUCGUGAUUGCAGAGAAGUUCUCUGUUAAGAUCUAUUUUACUGAUUUUUGUAAUUGAUAUAAACAUAAAGCAAUUGACAACAAAGCCAUAUUCAUUAGCAUUGAACUCCGUUAAUGUUAAAUCAAUGACUUUUAGCCGUGAAAAUGUUCGUAGAAAUUUACUAUAGUUUUCUCUGCUAAUAUAUUGUGAUAAAACGCUUUUAAUAAAACUGUUCCAAAAGGCAACAUGGUAUUUGAAAUUAUAAUAUCAUAGCUAUAUAAAUAGAGAAAAACCUUGGACCUGUUAGUCGCAUAGCACAAGACAGUGCAGGUGCUCUUCAAAAUGAGAAAGGGAAAUAAACAUUCGCUUCGGCAGUAAGAAAAGACCUUCAAUCCAGUAAAUGUCAACUUUGUGAUAUUUUUACAGAAUCGAUUCGUUUGAUAAGCCGGAAUUGCUUUUUUCUUGUUUUUUUAAUACUCUGAGUUAGUUCUUUCUGAUUCUACCUUAUCGACAGACAGAAGCCGUCUUCCGGUUAAAGAAACCAUAUAUAACGCAACAGAUUUUUUUAUUAAACAAAAAUAACUAUUCAGUGAAUGAAUUUUAACUUAUUUUCUGAUUGCAAUCACGUUUCGAUCGUAUUUAGUAAUUGCUGGUGGUGAUAUUGAAAAGUCAAAAACUUCAACUUCAGCCACCAUUAUUAAUAAAUCGUAUUCAAA